CCUACGGGAGGCUGCAGUGGGGAAUAUUGGACAAUGGGGGCAACCCUGAUCCAGCCAUGCCGCGUGUGUGAAGAAGGCCCUCGGGUUGUAAAGCACUUUCAGUGAGGAAGAACGCCUGGUGGUUAAUACCCAUCAGGAAAGACAUCACUCACAGAAGAAGCACCGGCUAACUCCGUGCCAGCAGCCGCGGUAAUACGGAGGGUGCGAGCGUUAAUCGGAAUUACUGGGCGUAAAGCGCGCGUAGGUGGCUUGAUAAGCCGGUUGUGAAAGCCCCGGGCGCAACCUGGGAACGGCAUCCGGAACUGUCAAGCUAGAGUGCAGGAGAGGAAGGUAGAAUUCCCGGUGUAGCGGUGAAAUGCGUAGAGAUCGGGAGGAAUACCAGUGGCGAAGGCGGCCUUCUGGACUGACACUGACACUGAGGUGCGAAAGCGUGGGUAGCAAACAGGAUUAGAUACCCUAGUAGUC
rnacentral:rRNA from 1 species